AACGUACGCUGGCGGCACGCCUAACACAUGCAAGUCGAACGCAGUAGCAAUACUGAGUGGCAGACGGGUGAGUAACAUGUGGGAAUCUGCCUUGUGGUUCAGGACAACAUUGGGAAACCGAUGCUAAUACUGGAUAAGCCCUUACGGGGAAAGUUUUAAUGACAUAAGAUGAGCCCGAAUUUGAUUAGUUAGUUGGUGAGGUAAUGGCUCACCAAGACAAUGAUCAAUAGCUGAUCUGAGAGGAUGAUCAGCCACACUGGGACUGAGACACGGCCCAGACUCCUACGGGAGGCAGCAGUGGGGAAUCUUGCACAAUGGAGGAAACUCUGAUGCAGCGAUGCCGCGUGAGUGAAGAAGGCCUUUGGGUUGUAAAGCUCUUUUGUAGGGGAAGAUAAUGACUGUACCCUAAGAAUAAGGUCCGGCUAACUUCGUGCCAGCCGCCGCAGUAA
rnacentral:rRNA from 1 species